UUCAAGAGCAACACUAUGCUUUGCUGCCCUGUGAGAUAUGGCUGCUGGGCUUGGCACAGACCCCAUGCUCCAACCCAGCCCGGAGCAGAGCUCCUCACCAACCUGCUGCUAUCUUCAACUCCUGCUGGAGACCUCAGCCUCAAACUAAAGCAGAAGCCCUGUUUGCAUUUCCCACCGCCUCUCAACAAGGGUGACUUUACUGAUGGACCCAUGUGGGAUGCUGAUAAACCCCAGAGGUGGCUGAGCUCACUGGAAGGAUGCAGAGAAGCAGCCCCAUGCCCUGGCUCCCCAGCAAAGCAACCCCGACUCUACCUCAGUUUCCCUAUUAAAAAGGGGAGAGCAUAACACGGCGGUCUCCCACAUUAGGAUCUUGAGAGGAAAGGAUGUUACUACUGUGCUAUAGUGAACACUGCUUUUGUUUGACAUUAGUUUUGAAAACUAUUUCAUUUUCGUUCUUUCUCUUGCCAGAAACACCAAAUAAAAGGACAAAAGUUGGGACGAGCGGGGAUAAAGCACCUUUUGCAUCAUAAUGAACUGUAUGUCACACAGACAUGUUAUAUCCAUGUACAGCGGAUAAGGCUGGAGCUGGCAUCUGGGUUAGAAGAUGUGUUUUGAAGCACAAAUACGUUGGAAAAUGGUGCUGCGAUCGCUGCAUUCAUCUGGUGGGUGAGUCGCUGGCAGCUCCUUCCCUUGGUCUGUCUGUGGGGCUGCGAUUUUCCCAAGUGAUGUGGAAUGGGCUCAGUUAAUGGACAGAUGGGACCUUGCACACAGAAAAAAAUGUGUUUUAUUUAAAAACUGAGCUUCAAUUACCAAAGGGAAGAAAAUUAACUGCAGGAAGAUGAAAUAAACACCCUUCUUUGGGGUCAAACAGGCGUUACAGUGGUGUGAUGUAAAAGCCAGAUCUCACACUGACUUAGGGGACUUUGCAGGCAGCUCCAAAGCUCAGAGUUGGUCUUUCCCAGUCAUUAAUAAAAGACAAAGCCAACAUUUGCUUUUAUAAACCAAAGAAUAACUCAUCAUUUCAUUCGUUGUUUGGGGUAUUGUUUUUUUUUGGUAGGGAUGUGCCAAUUUGUCAAGCCCUUAAUUUUUGGCAAGAAUUUAUCUGUGUUGAGACAACUGCUGUUGGCAAAAGCUAAUUCCAUGUACUGAUGGAAUUCGGAGGCAAAGUAGGAAAAAGAGACCAAAAAGAGAGAAGGCGCAUCCCCAGCAACCUUAUCAGUGAGAAACAGGAGAGAGCCAGAGUCAAGCUGCUGUGCCAAUAAAAUAUUAAUUAUUCAUACAAAUUCUCAUGGAGAACAGACAAAAACCAACCCCUGGGUGACCAUGAGCUUCCUCAGCACCAGCCAGGUGGGAAGCUGGCUGGGCAGCUGGGUGCUGGGAGGUGUUUGGCUUUUCCAAGAGCUCCUGGAGCUGGAGGGGGUUGAGGAUGCAGGGAGGGUAAAUGGGGUGCAUGGCUUGGUCAGUUUGGCUUCAUCCCAGGAAAACAAAGCAUCUGCGGGAGGAGAAAACCUGGUUGACCUGGCUCUUGUCACAGGGUACUGUCCAGUCGUUUGGUUUGAGAUCAGAUUUUGGCCCAAAGCAAACCUGAAAUCAAUACAAAUAAUGCUCCAAUUGGGUCAAUAAUCUGCGUUUUUAGGGUUUCUUUUAAUAUUAUUAGAAAUAUUUAUAUUACAGUAGCUUGGUAUUUUAGAAGGCUAAAAAUGCAUUUUUAUAUAAUCAGCAUUUUUAAAAGUCUAUAAACAUCCACUAUGUUUGCCUAAUGUACUAUAAAAGCUUCCAAAGGAGCUGUUAUUAUCCAACUUGUCACCUCACACAUGCUCCGAGGAGGAAUCUCUCUUUUUUUUCCUUGUCUGCUGUUAAUAAAAUGAAGCAAACCAUUAACAGCU